rnacentral:rRNA from 1 species
AGCAGUGGGGAAUAUUGCACAAUGGGCGAAAGCCUGAUGCAGCGACGCCGCGUGAGGGAUGACGGCCUUCGGGUUGUAAACCUCUUUCAGUAGGGAAGAAGCGAAAGUGACGGUACCUGCAGAAGAAGCGCCGGCUAACUACGUGCCAGCAGCCGCGGUAAUACGUAGGGCGCAAGCGUUAUCCGGAUUUAUUGGGCGUAAAGAGCUCGUAGGCGGUUUGUCGCGUCUGCCGUGAAAGUCCGAGGCUCAACCUCGGAUCUGCGGUGGGUACGGGCAGACUAGAGUGAUGUAGGGGAGACUGGAAUUCCUGGUGUAGCGGUGAAAUGCGCAGAUAUCAGGAGGAACACCGAUGGCGAAGGCAGGUCUCUGGGCAUUUACUGACGCUGAGGAGCGAAAGCAUGGGGAGCGAACAGGAUUAGAUACCCUGGUAGUCCAUGCCGUAAACGUUGGGCACUAGGU